GGAUUCUGUGUCUCCCUCUAUCUCUGCCUCUCCCCUGCUUGUGCUCUCAUUGAUACAAUGUUGACACAGUGUUUAAUGAUAUGAUAAAUCCCUAAUUCUCUCAGCCAAACACAAAUCCAUGUGGUUUUGUUUUGGAGCUUUGUCUGUCUCAAAGGUGAUACUUACCAAAUGGAAGAGUGUGGACGUGGGAGUAUAAAAAAGUUCAAGAUUCAAGCCUUCGUUCUCACUUAGAUGGCCACUUCUUGUAGUACCUUGGAUUAAUGACUUAAAUUCUCAGAACUUUACUUUUAGAUUAGUUUAAGAAAGUGGGAGUAAUAAUUCCAAUUUUAUGCAGUUGUGUUUGGAGGACUGCACAUGCAAGGGCACUCACUGGUCUUGACACAUCAACAAAAGCUAGAACAUGAAGAACUGAUGAAGCAAAAUAAAUCAAACUGGGUUUUUGUAUUUAAGUGACACAAAAGGAGAUUAGUGUAAUUAGGACACCUGGCAGAAACUCUCACCACAUCCUCUAAGAUGGAAAGUAGUGUGCUGCUUGUUAGACUCCAAAACUCACUAGUUGAUGCAGGACGGUGUAGCUGAAAUGAUCUUUAUAUAAAUAAAGUUAACUUUAAGUCCUGUCUGACUAUGUGUUGGGGACCACCUCAUCUGGGACAGGAGCUUUUUGUCAAUCUCAGGCCCUCACAAGCAACAACAUAUUUAAAUGAUGAAUUAUAUCGAGGUAUAUUCCAAGUCCUCGACCAUCAUACUUAGACUUUCAGGGUGCUAUAGACUGAUGGUCAAUUUCCUGAGGUGUCUAGGAGUGGAGAAGGGGAUGGGAGCUCAUGUUCCCAUACAUUUAAUCUACUCGCCUUGGGACUUUUGCAGCAUCGUGAAAUGAUGUGAGAUGUGAAAAGUGCAUGCCUGCCUGGCCUAAGACAACUGCUUUUACUCUUCAAAAAAGAAAAUCUAUCACGUAGAGGGGCCAGACCCGGAUUGACCAGUGUAAUUUGCAGAGAAAAUAUAAAAAAAGGAAUUUUUACAUUUCUGCAGUAAGUGGAAGUCCGGAACUGAAAUUGUCUGUCACCUGAUUUCCUCCUUCUCAGGAUCACGGAUGGCGUUGCACGGCAAGUGGAGAGCCCGAAGCCCAAAGAAGCACUUGAAGCAUUGGACGCGCUACAAACCAAUGACUCUCUUUGGGA